rnacentral:rRNA from 1 species
AGGGCACCACCAGGAGUGGAGCCUGCGGCUUAAUUUGACCCAACACGGGAAAACUCACCCGGCCCGGACACCGUAAGGAUUGACAGAUUGAGAGCUCUUCCUUGAUUCGGUGGUUGGUGGUGCAUGGCCGUUCUUAGUUGGUGGAGCGAUUUGUCUGGUUUAUUCCGAUAACGAACGAGACUCUGGCCUACUAAAUAGAGACGGAAUUAUUACUGUUCCGGAUUCUUCUUAGAGGGACAAGUGGUUUUCAGCCACACGAAAUUGAGCAAUAACAGGUCUGUGAUGCCCUUAGAUGUCCGGGGCUGCACGCGCGCUACACUGAAGGAAUCAGCGUGCUAAAACCAUUGUCGAAAGGCAUUGGUAAACCCAUCAAAAUCCUACGUGAUUGGGAUCGGGAAUUGCAAUUAUUUCCCUUGAACGAGGAAUUCCCAGUAAGUGCGGGUCAUAAGCUCGCGUUGAUUACGUCCCUGCCCUUUGUACACACCGCCCGUCGCUGCCCGGGACUGAGCCGUUUCGAGA